CGUUUUACCACUUUCAGCGUGGGUAAAUGGGAAGUGGUGUAAAAUUAAUAGCACCGACCGCAAACUAUGCUUAAUUUAUCUCGUUAGAUUAAUCUGUAAAAAUCAAACUUGAACAGGCAGUGGCAAACAAGUGAAGGUCAAAGUGCAACGUGGAAAAUCCCUGCUCAAAAAUGACAAUUUUCUGAAAAUGUACUUACCUUCAGGUCAUCCAUCAUGGAGCCUUCCCUGGAUUUAUCGCUUGUCGUGGAAUAACCCUUUGUCGUGCUGUUUCGGACUCUGUUCACCUCUCGUUUGGACUAUUAUCUGUCUGUUUGGUUUACCCGAUUGAUCCUCGCCCAUUACUAGAUUACUCUUGUGUCUUGCCUUGUUUGUAUCUGUUUGCUGGUGUCGACCCUGCCUGUUUUUGACCAUGUCUCUGUUUAAUAAA